rnacentral:rRNA from 1 species
UUUAUGGAGAGUUUGAUCCUGGCUCAGAGUGAACGCUGGCGGCGUGCCUAAUACAUGCAAGUCGAACGAUGAAGCUUCUAGCUUGCUAGAAUGCUGAUUAGUGGCGCACGGGUGAGUAACGCAUAGGUCAUGUGCCUCUUAGUUUGGGAUAGCCAUUGGAAACGAUGAUUAAUACCAGAUACUCCCUACGGGGGAAAGAUUUAUCGCUAAGAGAUCAGCCUAUGUCCUAUCAGCUUGUUGGUAAGGUAAUGGCUUACCAAGGCUAUGACGGGUAUCCGGCCUGAGAGGGUGAACGGACACACUGGAACUGAGACACGGUCCAGACUCCUACGGGAGGCAGCAGUAGGGAAUAUUGCUCAAUGGGGGAAACCCUGAAGCAGCAACGCCGCGUGGAGGAUGAAGGUUUUAGGAUUGUAAACUCCUUUUGUUAGAGAAGAUAAUGACGGUAUCUAACGAAUAAGCACCGGCUAACUCCGUGCCAGCAGCCGCGGUAAUACGGAGGGUGCAAGCGUUACUCGGAAUCACUGGGCGUAAAGAGCGCGUAGGCGGGAUAGUCAGUCAGGUGUGAAAUCCUAUGGCUUAACCAUAGAACUGCAUUUGAAACUACUAUUCUAGAGUGUGGGAGAGGUAGGUGGAAUUCUUGGUGUAGGGGUAAAAUCCGUAGAGAUCAAGAGGAAUACUCAUUGCGAAGGCGACCUGCUGGAACAUUACUGACGCUGAUUGCACGAAAGCGUGGGGAGCAAACAGGAUUAGAUACCCUGGUAGUCCACGCCCUAAACGAUGGAUGCUAGUUGUUGGAGGGCUUAGUCUCUCCAGUAAUGCAGCUAACGCAUUAAGCAUCCCGCCUGGGGAGUACGGUCGCAAGAUUAAAACUCAAAGGAAUAGACGGGGACCCGCACAAGCGGUGGAGCAUGUGGUUUAAUUCGAAGAUACACGAAGAACCUUACCUAGGCUUGACAUUGAGAGAAUCCGCUAGAAAUAGUGGAGUGUCUAGCUUGCUAGACCUUGAAAACAGGUGCUGCACGGCUGUCGUCAGCUCGUGUCGUGAGAUGUUGGGUUAAGUCCCGCAACGAGCGCAACCCCCUUUCUUAGUUGCUAACAGGUUAUGCUGAGAACUCUAAGGAUACUGCCUCCGUAAGGAGGAGGAAGGUGGGGACGACGUCAAGUCAUCAUGGCCCUUACGCCUAGGGCUACACACGUGCUACAAUGGGGUGCACAAAGAGAAGCAAUACUGCGAAGUGGAGCCAAUCUUCAAAACACCUCUCAGUUCGGAUUGUAGGCUGCAACUCGCCUGCAUGAAGCUGGAAUCGCUAGUAAUCGCAAAUCAGCCAUGUUGCGGUGAAUACGUUCCCGGGUCUUGUACUCACCGCCCGUCACACCAUGGGAGUUGUGUUUGCCUUAAGUCAGGAUGCUAAAUUAGCUACUGCCCACGGCACACACAGCGACUGGGGUGAAGUCGUAACAAGGUAACCGUAGGUGAACCUGCGGUUGGAUCACCUCCUUUCUAGA